AUUGAACGCUGGCGGCAGGCCUAACACAUGCAAGUCGAACGAGUGGCGGACGGGUGAGUAAUGUCUGGGAAACUGCCUGAUGGAGGGGGAUAACUACUGGAAACGGUAGCUAAUACCGCAUACCAUCGGAUGUGCCCAGAUGGGAUUAGCUAGUAGGUGGGGUAAAGGCUCACCUAGGCGACGAUCCCUAGCUGGUCUGAGAGGAUGACCAGCCACACUGGAACGGAGAAAGUGUCCAGACGCCUACGGUGGGCAGCAGUGGGGAAUAGUGCACGAUGGGCGCAAGCCGGAUGCAGCCAUGCCGCGUGUAUGAAGAAGGCCUUCGGGUUGUAAAGUACUUUCAGCGUGGAGGCGUUACCCGCAGAAGAAGCACCGGCUAACUCCGUGCCAGCAGCCGCGGUAAUUC
rnacentral:rRNA from 1 species